AGGAUGAACGCUGGCGGCGUGCUUAACACAUGCAAGUCGAACGGUGAAGCAGGAGCUUGCUCCUGUGGAUCAGUGGCGAACGGGUGAGUAACACGUGAGAAAUCUGCCCUGGACUCUGGGAUAAGCGUUGGAAACGACGUCUAAUACCGGAUACGAGCUUCAGCCGCAUGGCUAGGAGCUAGGAAAGACUUCGGUCCAGGAUGAUCUCGCGGCCUAUCAGCUAGUGUGAGGUACGGCCACGAAGGCGACGACGGGUAGCCGGCCUGGAGAGGGUCGACCGGGCCAACGUACGUGGGAACUGGAA
rnacentral:rRNA from 1 species